AGUAGAUCACCUAUCAAAUUAAUCAUCCAGUUACUAUGCUACUUGUCAUCAGGAGCUUAUUGGAUUAGAAGUUUUACAAUUUUUUGUAACAAACGAAGCACUGAUUAUUUCUAGGAGAAGCUCUUGUAAUAGAUGUACUCAUCAUUUUCCUGAGUUGUCCAGUGUUCCUUUGCGAGGCAAGUAAGGACAGUUCAUAAGUUACUUCACCCAGUGAACCCCAGGCUUAGGAAGCUGAGAAUCGAAGAACCCAGCUCUAGAUUCCAAGAGACUUCCGUGUUUCAGCUUCAAAUGGGUGUUUCUCAACGUGCUGGCAAAGAACUCGUGACGCAUAGAUAGAAAAAGAAGAAUGUAACUUCUGUUCUGUAUAUUAUAUUGUCAUGAGUUUGUUCUUCAUCAAGCAUGGAUUGCUCUUCUUCCUAAGAGUGAUCUUCCUCGUCCAUGGUACCUGAUAUGAAACACACAAAGUAGUUAAGUGCUUAUAAUUAAGGCGCAGUGGUGGAAUUUUUAUUCAAACAAAAUAUCAAAAUGCUUUGGACCUACUUUCCAAAAACUAUGAGGCAAAAAAUAUUUUAUUUUUGCUUUUGAAUGCGACAAUGAUAUGAACGAAAUAUACCAAAAUGCUAUAGAAAUAUAAAAUCAACUAGAUGAAGACAUGCGCCUUGUAAGGGAUGAAAACGUGGAAUGAAUAGUAUAUACGCAAAUUAAUUUUACGUAUUAUUAUUUAUUUUGUGUUUAUUACGCAUUAUAAAAUAAUAAAAAUAUUAAAUAACUGAGAAGCGAGUAAAUAUUAUGUGUAUAAUUAAAUUAGAGUAAUCACAUAAAUGAAAAAAAAAAAUUUGUUCACUUACAAUAUUUUUAUUUGUAAAUAAAUAAAAACAAUUAUUUUAUUUUUUAUAUGUUAUAUAAUCAAAUUUAAAUGAUAUUGACAUAGAUAUAUAGUAUUUUAAUAUGGAUAUUUAUUAAUUGAGGCUUCAUACUCAUAUAAUUUUAUUAACAUUUUUAUAUUUUUGUAGCAAAAAAAUAAACCAUUAAUCACAAGAUUUCUAGUGUGAGAUUUUUAAUAAUUUUAAUAAUUUAUAAAUGUUUUUAAAAAUUCAAUAAAAAAUUUCAAAAUAAAUAUUAAGGUAUCAGUACUUUUGUAAUGGAAAUUUUGAAUAUGGUACACAGUUUAAUUUUCAUAAUAUUAAUAUAUAUACAUUAUAUAUAUAUAUAUAUUUAAUAUGAAUAUCUAUUAAAUAAAACUUAUUAUUCAUAUGAGUUUUUGAUCAUUUGUAUCUUGUUAUAACCAAACAUUAAACUAUUGAUCACACAUUUUUUAAGUGAGACUUUUGACAAUAUUAGUAAUUUAUAGUCAUUUUGAAAAUUUUAAAUAUAACAUAUAAGAAAAAAAUCUGAAUUUUUGAUUAUAUGAUUAAUGUGAUUGUUUAGUUUCUUUUAAGAAUAUCAAAUUAAACAAAAAUGAUGAAGUAUACAAAAAUUGUUAUCAAAUCUUUAUUAUUCAAAAUCAUUAAUUGUCAUAUAUAUGUUAAUCAUAUUAGGUAAUUCUGUAAUUUUUAUUUAAGAAAAAAAGAAGAAUAUUUUUUUUGUAUACUACUAAUCAAUUUUAUAUUUAGUUUAAUAAAAAGUAUAAUAUAUGUUUAGAUGAACCAACUAAUUUUCUUAGGAUUCUAACAAUCAUCCUGGAGAUGACACGUGGUUACAAAAUAAUGUUGUAAUGCUCUUCAAUUAAUAUAUAAAAGAUAUUUAACAAAAAUAACAAGUAACAAAUGCAAUUAAUUGUUUUUGAAUUUUUUUUAAUGCACAAAUGAAAAGAAAGGAAACUAAGCAAUGAACUAAUGCAAAAUUAAAAUAUGGUAAGUGGAACUGGGAGAACUGAAUGCAAACAACUCGAGUAAUAUGUCAAAGAAAUUUUGUGGAUCAAACUAUCCAAAAACUUUCUUUUUGUUUUUUUUCUUUAAUAAGAACACAAAAAUGGCAGAAAUUGAAACUAGAAACAAAUAACAAUUUUUAUGGAUUUUUGGUUUUAUAAAUGAAAACUAACAAGGAAUGAAACAAGAACAGAUAUAGAGAUGGAUUGAUAUCACCUGAUAUAGGAGCUUUAAGCUCUGAUACCCAAAUGUUACAUGCACGGGAGCUGAGUCGAUAAGAUCGAUGGGCGAUGGGUCGAUCUUAUCGAUGGAGAUGAAGAUCGGAUGGAAAGAUGGUGAAGAUGGCCGACUAGCUGUACUUUCAAGUCCAAAAUAUCCUGAAAAUAUAGGAAGAACAAUGAGUCUAUAAAUUAUGAAAACAAGAACAAAAACUAAAGAUAGGAUGUAAUGGUUUGAUGAAGUGAAGAUAGAUGAUGGAUGGAUGGAUGGAAGAUGAUGUUGGAUAGAUAAUGAUUGACUCUCUCAAUCUGGGAUAACAAUGGCUGUUGAAUCACACAAACAACCUAUGCUAACAAAUCAAUAGAACACAAGAAUCGUUCAAAAUAUUCUAAAGACAGAUUUCUAUUCAAAAACUCUCUUUGAUAAAAACAAGCAAACUGAUUAUUAUUUCUUAAAGAUUGGAAGGUGAUCUUUACAGUGUCAAUCUAAGAGCUAAUAUAAUGCUCUGGAAUCUAAGCCUAAUGUUCAUAAGAAGAAAAGAAGGAAACAAAUCAAGCAAAGUAACAAAAUCAGAAACUAGCCGUUGGAGCCUUUUAUGGGUUUUUGGCUCCAAGUGAGAAACUUGAUUCUUUUUGAAGCUGGAUGUUUUUAGGGUAUAAUAGAGCUUCCUUUAGAUAUUCCUGAUGGCUUUAUAAGUUCUGAUGUCGUCCAUAACUUGAUAGGAAAAGAGCUGUUGGACAUUAAUGUUGAUUGGCUCCAUAUAAGGCAAGUUGGAGUGCAAAAAGAUUUUCCUAAUCCCCUGGAUGCUGGAACAUGGUAGGACGCUCCUGGCUUCCAUGAAUAGGUUUGGACCGAACCAAACUGAAGGAGUAGAAGUCCUUCCUCAGAUAAUGUCGUUUUGGCCAAAUUAAGAAAACCGGAUCUAUUUUCUAGUCUGAUUGGGAUCCGCCUGAUCCAGUGUGUUCUGGUGCAUCUUGUGGCUUCUGGAUAAACUGGAAAUGACUCCAAAAAGUUAUAGCUUUGAUGGCUGAGUCGUGGAUGACUUAUGGCUCCAAAUGUGAAUGCAUCCCGAUAAGGAAAUUGUUGUUAAUGAAGAUCCUCCUGAUCAUGUGGUUGCUGGUGCAUGAAACUGGCUUUUAUGAAUCUUAUGGAUCAUUGGAUGAGCCUCCUGAAUGCCUAAAUUUAUCUCCUGGCCACCAAUGUUUUGUUUGAAGCUGAUUGAACCGGUUAACUUCCAAUUAAGGCAAGUGUAGAACUGGUUUGGCCGGUUUUGGAGAUUGGGCCAUAACUUUAUAUAUCCGUGGCCAUUUCUCCUCAUUAUGUGCUUGUUGGAAAGAUAAGAGAUCCAUAUUUAAGUCCAUGAGUUUUUUGGGUUGGAAUGUUUCUUCAUUGGCCUUGAAACAACUUCUAAACUCAGAUACUUGCAGAUAGACGGGUUAGAAAACCUCCGGUUUGUAAAAUUUAUACCUUCCUGGUCCGAGUACCUUUGAAGAUUCUUAUAAUUGGUCUUGACUCCUUGUUGAGUUUAGAAUUCAUGAAAAUUGGUUUCAUGGCAAAUUUCCUUCUGGUUGGUGAAAUAUGUCGUCUUUACUGAACACAUAUCCUAGUGGGUCCUUUGGUUGGCUGAAUGGUACAUCUGGUUGUCCUCUGGUUCAGGUGUCUUUUCUAUGCCCACAACAUCAAUGUUGUUAUUUCUCCACAAAAGAUAAUACAUAUUAGCAUAAACACUCGAUAUCAGGAAGAUGUCCGUGCUAGAUGGAGUUGCUGAUAAAGACCAUGCAUAUAAAGCUGGUGAAGAUUGCGUGAGUAACAGUUUCUUCAAGUUCUCCACAUCUUGAAAAAUAAUUAUUGCAUCGCAUAUUGCAACGUGCCAUGUUCCUUGUUAUCGCCACAUGUUAUGUUGUUAUCAGUAUCCAAAUAAGAUGACAUAUCUUCUUAGGUUCCUUUAUUUUCCAAGCAAAGACUUGAAACUUUGUUAUACUUGGGUCCAGGAUCUCUGUCUCUUCAUUUUCUUCCAGUAAGUUACGUGAUAUCCAAUAUCCAGAUUUAAUAGUGUACUGUUCACUCUUUGUAUAAUUCCAGCAUAAGUGUCCGGGCGAUAGGUUGGGAUGAUGGCCAAAAUUCUUGUUAGAGGUAUAUUCUCGUGGUGAACAUAAUUUUCCAGUAGCCCAACAUCCCACUCCUUUGAUUUUCCAUUAAUUAGAUCAUUGACUGUCAUUUUGGAGUGUAUAAUUGAUAUAUGGUGUUUUAUACAUCUUGUAUAUAUGCUUUUAAAUUGGUUUUCAAGUCUUUAUCGAGUCUUCCUAGUCCUUUGGAGUCAUUACAGGUCUGGAGUUGCAUUGGAUGGGAGAUGGACCAGCUGGAACAAAAGAGGCAGACAACAGUGCAAUUCAGUGAUUUUCACGCAGAACAGUCUUGAUGACUGUUCCGGAAAGCGGAGCAACCCGAGUGACUGUUCCGAGUGACUGUUCCAGCGGCAGAGAUUUUUAAGGAAACUACAACCUAUUUCGGGAUUUGCCCUAAUCUCUCUAUUUUUCUCUCCCAGCCGCCUGUGGCUUUGAUAUAUCUUCUUUUUCUAUUUUUCCUGAUCAUACUACGCUAUUCUAGACAGAAGAAAACCAUUGGAGACUUUUGUGCUUUUGGAUUGUAAAGGGAGAAGGCUCCAUCUCUCUCACCAUAGAGAAGAUUAUCCUGAACCCUCUUUCUAUCUCUUUUAUUUACAUGAAGUCUUAUUCAGAAUU